AACGAACCGGAAGUUCAAGUUUGAAACGGAAACGCGCCGGAGACCAGACGGCUGCUUCUCGUGUUUGUCUUUGGCUCUUCCUUUCCUGGUGCUUUGUCUAGAGAGAGCAGGCUUUUGGGGCCUUUUUUGUGUCUGAGCCUGCUGGCAUUUCUAGGUUGCCUGCAUCUCCAGCACCCAGUCUGAGAAAUAUGAAGCAAAAAGAAAACCCAGGGAAUUCACUGCCAUGUCUUUCAAGGGCUGGGGAAUGCAGCUUCAGGACUCCAAUAGCAUAUCACUGGCAUUGCUUUUUACAUGUAUUGAUUUGUAUUUCCAAUCAAUGAUUAGCACAUCUGAUGUCUGAUACCAUUCCCUCCAGAGGUCUUCUGUAACAACUGAUAUGGACAUGAUACUUUGACGACAAUGUUACUGGGGAGUUUAAGUUAAACAAUUGAAAUACUAUCUUCAGACUAUCUAGAAACAGUGAAAAUGACAUUCACCUUUAAAUAAAUUUAUAAACACUAUCUUAAAAAUUACAGUUCUGCUGAGCUUCCAUUUGAGCAAUUGUGUAAUCACAUAAUGACAGGAGAAAGACUAAAGAAGAGCAAAUUGAAAAAUAGUUUAGGAGACAAAAUUAUUAUGUUUUCCUGGAUCAGUAGAAGAGACUUGUUUAAUAGCAAUAUCAAAAAUAAUAUACUUUUUGUAGAAAUUGAAUAAAAUGGAAGCAAUUUACUAACAAAA